GAGAGGUCUUAUGAGACGCCAGCUCCAAAAUACUGUCUUGGAACAUCUGCUCCUGCACUUAUUCAGGAACCAGACAAUUAGAAGAAAGUUAACUUCAAAAGAAGCUGUCUGAUGGAAGGGCAUGUGAUGUUUUACAGGAGUGCCUGAGAGGACAUGUGAUGUUUGGGGAGAGUGUAAGUAUAACCCAACAGACAGUGGACGAUGCUGUGGCAUUGGUUUUUCUUGCUUUCUUCUUUGAUGAUUGUUUGUUGUGAGCUUGUAGUCAGAAAC
rnacentral:lncRNA from 1 species